GACAGAGGAGGCAAGCGUUGUUCGGAAUCACUGGGCUUAAAGGGCGGGUAGGCGGCCGCGCAAGUGUCCUGUGAAAUCCCACUGCUCAACGGUGGAACUGCAGGGCAAACUGCGUGGCUUGAGGCUGGUAGAGGUGACUGGAACUCUAGGUGGAGCGGUGAAAUGCGUAGAGAUCUAGAGGAACGCCUGAGGCGAAAGCGGGUCACUGGGCCAGAUCUGACGCUGAGCCGCGAAAGCGUGGGGAGCAAACAGG
rnacentral:rRNA from 1 species